CCCGGAGGGACGAAGGCUGCUAACGUGUUGCUAGCUGGUGUCUAAGCAAAUGAAGAUGAAGGAGGAAGCCAGAGAAAUCAGGUGUUAGGAAACUAAAGACUUUCCUGUCUCAGAAGAAUCUCUGGCUCCACCAGAUCACCAACCAGCUCUGAAGAUGAACCUUCACAUCGUCUUCAUGAUGGCCCUGUGAUGGACUGGUGACCUGUCCAGGAUCCUCUCAUCUAAUGGCUGCUGGAGAUGGGCACCACUAGCCCCCCUCGCUACCCUGCAAGGAUCAGUGUGUUCACAUCAUGGAUGGAAAGAUUUUAAGGCAAAGAAGACACCCA